rnacentral:rRNA from 1 species
CCUGGCUCAGGAUGAACGCUAGCUACAGGCUUAACACAUGCAAGUCGAGGGGAAACGAUAGAGAAGCUUGCUUUUCUAGGCGUCGACCGGCGCACGGGUGAGUAACGCGUAUCCAACCUGCCCAUCACUUGGGGGAUAACCUUGCGAAAGUAAGACUAAUACCCAAUGACGUCUCUAGAAGACAUCUGAAAGAGAUUAAAGAUUUAUCGGUGAUGGAUGGGGAUGCGUCUGAUUAGCUUGUUGGCGGGUAACGGCCCACCAAGGCGACGAUCAGUAGGGGUUCUGAGAGGAAGGUCCCCCACAUUGGAACUGAGACACGGUCCAAACUCCUACGGGAGGCAGCAGUGAGGAAUAUUGGUCAAUGGACGAGAGUCUGAACCAGCCAAGUAGCGUGCAGGAUGACGGCCCUAUGGGUUGUAAACUGCUUUUAUAAGGGAAUAAAGUGAGUCUCGUGAGACUUUUUGCAUGUACCUUAUGAAUAAGGACCGGCUAAUUCCGUG